UGUGGAGUUUUGUCGUUGAUUAAGUUAGAAACCUAAAGAAUUACUGAUUAGCAGAGGUCUCGAUGCUCUGCAGGAAAUUUAUUGGUUUAAUAAGAUCAUCUCCAACCCAUAUCUACUUUCAUCUCUAUAGAAGUGGAUUUGCUCUAAUGUAUGUCUCUGUAAUAGAAUUUUUCUAUUUAUAGGGAAAAAUAUAGAGAUAUGCUAUUUUCACUUCUAAAUAUAGAGACAAAAAAAUAAUUUUUUUCUAUAUUUACCUCUAAAAUAAAUGAACUCUAUUAUAGGUACAUAUUGGAGCAAUUCUACAUCUAUAAUAGAGAUCUUUAUUUUAGAAGAAAACAUAGAGAUAUACAUUGGUGAUGCUCUAAUUACCAGUUUAGCACAAACACAUGAUAAGCAAUAAGUGUUUUGUUCAUACUUCAUUUUUAGUUUUUACUUUACAUGGCUUAAUGAAAUCCUAUAAAUAUUUUUGAAUUGUUAAUACAUAAAAUAAUAAAUAUGAAGAGCUACAUUAUUGAAAAGUGUUUUAAGUUUAGUUCACUGUUGACAAAAAAAAAAAUUUAGUUCACUGAAUUUUUAAAAGAAAAAAGCAAAAACGUUAAUCACCCAUAAAAUUACAUUAAUGAAACGGGCCGGCCUUAGGAUAUUUUGGGCAUUUGGUUUUCAAAUUAAAAUUAGAAAGUAUAUAAUUCAACAUAACGGAUUAAAAUGAAUCAUUGUAAAGAGAUGCCCAAGAGGAAGAAGAUAUAGCCGUUUAGAGAGAGAGAUUGAUCUUGGCUUCAACGGGACGAUUUUGAAUCCGAAAUUGAAAUUAGAGUUUUGGUUUGAUUCCUAUUUCCUUGCGAUUGUUGUUAUUUUUUAGGGUUUGAAUCUUUUUUUACUCUAUUGGUGUUUUUAAUCGAUUAGAUUCUUCUCAGUUACUCUUGCUUCUCUCACCUUCCUUCGUCUUUUCUCAAUUCCAGAAAAAUUAAGAUCUCUCAUGGAUGAAGAAUCCGAUUUGCUGAUGUUUAAUGGUUUCUUUGAGAAAAAGCAGAGCAGAGACUUAGUAUUAGAGAUAUGUUGGGCCGGAAGAUAUGUAUCUUACGGACCAAGUCUGUGAAGCCUGUGAAACCCAUGAAGACCCUCAAGAAUAAAAGGAAAGAUUUGAAGAACAAGUUACUCUCAAAAUAUUUUAGCAUAUUUACAUUAAGUGUUUAGGAAAGUUAGCAUUAUCUAGUGUUAACAUUAUGUUAAUGUUACCACUAUAUACAUGCAUAUUGUAUUCUCUUAUUAAACACAAUACAAUAAUAUAUCUAUUCUAUUAUAUUUUACAUGGUAUCAGAGCAGACGAUUCGUAGGGAUCAAAAUUAAGCUUUCGCGUUAUAAGUUUUAAACUUCGAAGAUGCUUACCAUCGGUGGUGUUGAUGAUGGCAAAGAAGGUGGUGACGACGAUUCAGACGAAGACGUCAACGUAUACGUCAAGUUCUCUCAUUAGGGAUACUUCUUAAUAAUAAGUAUUAGGGUUUUGUUAAGUACGUUAUCUAAGUCAAAGGAUUUUUUAUUUUUUUUUAUUUUGGUGAAUGCUUGAGAAUUAUUGAGGGUUAAGGUUUGUAGUUUCACAUGGGUUAUUUUCUAUCUGAGAUUUUUCUAUAGUUUAGAAUUUCUCAACAGUUGUUUUCUCAUGGGAUUUAUUGGUUAUAGUUUAACCAUUACAGGGGAGUUCUAGUUGAACGUUCAAAUUCUUAGGUCAGUUUUUUUUAGUCCGUGUUAUGGACUGUCCAAGUCAAGGAUAAUUGUUUAUGGAGCUGCAGUUGCGCCCACGAGAUGUAUUCUCAUUGUCAAGACCGAAGAAGAGCUGAAGAUUUCAUCCCUCCUUGUCUAAGUUGAAGUUUAUUCCCGAAGGAAUCUACUGAUUUGUUUUCUUCGACAUAGUGUCCACGACAUACGUGGUCUGCUUUGUGAUUGCAGAUUUGCGUGUUGCAUCCCACGUUUGUCGUGCGGGGGAGUAUUAGAGAUAUGUUGGGCCGGAAGAUAUGUAUCUUACGGACCAAGUCUGUGAAGCCUGUGAAACCCAUGAAGACCCUCAAGAAUAAAAGGAAAGAUUUGAAGAACAAGUUACUCUCAAAAUAUUUUAGCAUAUUUACAUUAAGUGUUUAGGAAAGUUAGCAUUAUCUAGUGUUAACAUUAUGUUAAUGUUACCACUAUAUACAUGCAUAUUGUAUUCUCUUAUUAAACACAAUACAAUAAUAUAUCUAUUCUAUUAUAUUUUA